UUAUAACCUCGAGAAGUCAAACCAGUACUGUGAAGUCCAGCUCUACCGCUCUUUAAAAUGCUUCUCCAGCUCCCCUGUUUAUAACCUCUUCUUCCCAAAAGCAUCAAUCUCUAACUCUUUUUUGCAUCAAUCAAGAUUACCCUUUUGGGGUUUUGACGCUCGAAGGCUUCAACUUGGAGUUUAAAGUUUAAGCAAUUGCAUGCACUUCAAGAUCAGCCCAUCUCUACACUGAAAGGUACUUGAUUCCGUUCCCAUAUUUUGGAUUUAGGGGUUUUCAACUACAAAGAAUUGUUCUCUGCAAAUUUGAUGUUUAGGGUUUUUGUUUCUGCUCAGAGAGAUUUACUGCAAAAUUGGAUAUUUGGGUUUUGGAACAACAAAUUUGGUGGGUUUUCUAAGGUCUACUUGAAAAAAUGGUAGAAGAAACAAGAAACGCACCAUAUUUUAAUGGGGAAGAUAGAAUCAGCAGGUUACAGGAUGAACUAAUUCACUACAUCUUGUCUUUCAUUGAUAUGAAAUAUGUUGUCCAGACUAGUGUUCUGUCCAAAAGAUGGAUAGAUAUUUGGAAAUCUAUCCCCUUUCUAAACUUCAAUAGGGAUUCAUUUUCAGAAGACAGAAAAGAUAGUUUCAUAAUGUUUGUAGACAUGGUAAUAUUUUUUCGCAAAGAGUGCAAUAUUCAGAUGUUUAAUCUGCAAUGGAUGAACUCUGCCUAUGAUACUUCAGUGGUAAUGAAUGUUAAAAGAUGGAGCCUUGGUGCUGUUAAGUGUAAUGUGAAAGAAUUUUGGUUACUGAUCACUCAAUGCCAUGAUUCGACAUAUGAAAUUCCUCACCGUCUCCUUAAUUGUAAAUCACUGGGGAAGUUGGUUAUUGGUAUGUCUGGUCAUGCCGAAUAUGCAGAUAUUAUUCUACCAAGUUCAAUGAGUUUACCUCAGCUAAAAACAUUGGCUUUUUUUGGAUUAUCAAUCACAAAUGCAGAAUCAUUUACAAGACUCUUUUCAAGUUCUCCAGUUCUCGAAAGAUCUUUCUUGUCACGAGAUUUUUCUCUAGAAAUCUGUUCUCCACUAUCAGGGGUUAGUUUUACUAUGAAACUCGAAGCAAAAACAGAAGAUGAGAAUGCAGAAGCAUAUUCAAAACUGCCGUCAACAGAAAAAGAUGUGUAUGCUAAACGUAUGAUGAAAUUUCUAGGAGCGGUUUAUAUGGUGAAAGCAAUGAGAUUAUCACCUGGUUUUCUUGAGGUAUGGGUACUUCCUCUCUUCCAUGAAUUAAACAUCUUAACAUAUUUUUGGAAGCGGUGCAAGUAUGUUUCACUGCCUAGUCAUGUUAUCUUCCUACACCUUAAGUAGUCUUGGUUGAGCGAGAUUUUUGCUGCUAUACUGUUUGAAAAUUUUUCUUUUUGCAUCGCAAGCUCCUGACUUACCAGACUAUCGGCCACCUCACUUACUUAAUCUAAAAUAUCUGACACUAGACAUGUGGUGUACAAGAGGUUGCUUGCGGGCUAUAGCAUACUUGCUCAGCAUUUCUCCUAAAGUAACUAAAUUUUUUCUCGAAUCCAAGGAGUCAAAUUUAGCAAACGUUGGAGAUGAUUGGGAUGCGGGACUGUCAUUUCCAGAAAUGUUGCCAUGCCUCAAGCUUGUCCAGAUUAAAAAAGUGGAAGGAUGUGAUAACGAACUCAAAUUUCUUAGUUUUUUGUUGAAAAAUGCGACGACUUUGAAGAAAGUGGUGCUGUAUCCUCGUUCUACUAUCAAGUCGCCUAAGAGAGUGAAAAGGCAGUUUAGGGAUAAGCUAAGAGCACUCCCAAGAGCUUCUUCCCACAUCAGAAUGGAGUGGCCAGCUACAAAAAGUAUCCGUAUAUGAUAAACUAACAACAGGCUUCCCUUGCGAGAUCUAGUUACUUUGAGGUUCUUCCUUUUUGCUUUACUUUUGUUAUUUAGCGAUAGUCUUCUUCUGUGUAAAGAAUGGCUGGAAUAUCUAUUUAGGAAUCCGUUAAAUGCUAGUUAAGUCUGUGCUUCAGUGCUAAUUAACUGAACUUUUCUACAA